rnacentral:lncRNA from 1 species
ACCCUUUAACCCUAGCCACUAGUUGAACCUUUUCAAUUUUUCAUUCCCUUAUCCCUCUCCUCUGUACUCUGGACGACUGGACCCUCUCCUUCCCAUUCCUAGUUCCGCCGCUCUUCGUCUUCUUCCUUCCCACUCCCAGCAACCUGCAACAAAACCCUUUAACCCUAGCCACUAGUUGCACCUUUUCAAAUUUUCAUUCCCUUAUCCCUCUUCUCUGUACUCUGGACGACUGAAUCCUCUCAUUCCCACUCCCAGCUCCGCCGCUCUUCGUCUUCUUCCUUCCCACUCCCAGCGACCUGUGACCCGUCUCACAUCUCGUCGAUUUGCAAGUGUCGCCAACUUGCCGUCUCACUCUCAGUCUCUCACCCCCGUGACCCGCGACUUCCUCUCGCCUUUUCAAGUCUCGACCCACGACCUCCUUCCUUUGCACGGUAAUUUCUCUCAUGUUCUAUAGAUUUUGUUUUUAAUUUCAUGGGUUUUGCAGAUUUUAUUUUCAAUUUCAUGGGUUCUGUAAUUUCAUUGGUUUUGCGAUUUGUUUUGGGUUCUGUAAUUUCAUUGGUUUCGCGACUUCCUCUUGGUUUUGCUAUUUCUGAACACUAUUAGUUGAAGCUAAUUUUGGGGUUCUGAAGUAGGUAGGUGUAGAGAAAAUUUCAAUAUUUAAGUCCAUUUGUUGAAUUUGCAUGCUAAAUUUGAGUUGGGAACUUUUGCUUACUUGUUACCCAGUUGGCUUUUUUUGAGCUACUUUUGCAGUUUCUUUCUUCGUCUUAAUUUGCGAACAAUUUGAUCAUGUUUGACUUAUCAUUUUGUUUUUGGGGUAAUCUGUCAAGCUGGUAAUAUAUGUGGAAGCUCGGCUAUUGGAGGAAAUCAGCAGCUUUUUAUCCAGUGAGUGAGAAAUCUAAUCAAUGAAACUUGUUUAUCAACGUAUGCUAAUAAUAUUUUGGAUUAUGUAUAGUUCUCGUCAACGAUACAAGACUAAGCGAUGAGUAGUAAUUGUAUAAGAUAAUUGUGAUGAAUUCCAGAGUCUUGAAGUCAUGCUACAUUCAGUUAUACAUAGAAGAGAGAUUCCACCACAAUUAACUUUGUCUACUUGUUCUCCAGGCGAGUGUAGCAGUAAAGACCACCUUGUUUGAAGCCCAUCCAGGGCUGCUGCAUUCAAG